rnacentral:rRNA from 1 species
UACGUAGGUGGCAAGCGUUGUCCGGAAUUAUUGGGCGUAAAGCGCGCGCAGGUGGUUUCUUAAGUCUGAUGUGAAAGCCCACGGCUCAACCGUGGAGGGUCAUUGGAAACUGGGGAACUUGAGUGCAGGAGAGAAGAGUGGAAUUCCACGUGUAGCGGUGAAAUGCGUAGAGAUGUGGAGGAACACCAGUGGCGAAGGCGACUCUUUGGCCUGUAACUGACAAUGAGGCGCGAAAGCGUGGGGAGCAAACAGG